rnacentral:piRNA from 1 species
UGAAAGCCCUCUGCUCAAUUUCAGUCC